rnacentral:rRNA from 1 species
UACAGAGGUCUCAAGCGUUGUUCGGAUUCAUUGGGCGUAAAGGGUGUGUAGGUGGCGCCGUAAGUCGGGUGUGAAAUUUCGGAGCUUAACUCCGAAACUGCAUUCGAUACUGCGGUGCUUGAGGACUGGAGAGGAGACUGGAAUUCAUGGUGUAGCAGUGAAAUGCGUAGAGAUCAUGAGGAAGACCAGUGGCGAAGGCGGGUCUCUGGACAGUCCCUGACACUGAGACACGAAGGCCAGGGGAGCAAACGGG